rnacentral:rRNA from 1 species
CACGGGGGGAGCAAGCGUUGUUCGGAAUCACUGGGCGUAAAGGGCGUGCAGGCGGUCAGGUAAGUGGGAUGUGAAAUGCCCCGGCUCACCCGGGGACCGGCAUCUCAUACUGCUUGGCUUGAGUACGGGAGAGGAUAUGGGAAUUCCUGGUGUAGCGGUGAAAUGCGUAGAUAUCAGGAGGAACACCGGUGGCGAAGGCGCACAUCUGGCCCGAUACUGACGCUGAGGCGCGAAAGCUAGGGGAGCAAACGGG